rnacentral:lncRNA from 1 species
CUUUUAUCCCCCAUCCUACCCCUCCAAAAAAAGCAUGGAAGGUUAAGGGAAAAGGGGGGUGGGGGGAUAGUAAAUGGAAACAUACCUUAUUUCUGCACUAAAGUUUUUGAUGCAAAACAUCUCCCAAUAGUAGUGGAGGCACUGAAAGAAGGCGCUUCCUUUCAUGCAGUCAGCUCAUGUCAAAUUCACUUGAUUUUGUGUCCGUGGUGCUGAUGCUGGAUCCUGAUGAAUAAAAAUGUAUUAUCUUCACAUGAAGUAAUAUGGGAUUUAGGAAUUAUUUGUCUGAAGUGGCAUGGGGGACUUGGUCUAUAGAUUCAAGAUUUGGUUCAGCAAUGAUUGAUCACUAGUGGAGUCUUUAUCUUCUGAAGACAUCCGUUUGAGAAAUAUCAACAAACUAGAAUCAUUUUAACCUUGGUACAGUGUGUGAAUUCUUUUGUAGUUGUCAUCUAUUUGUAACUUAUGCUGCCUUUGCAUUUCUUACUUGCACGCAUGACUGAAAUCAAUUAAGAAAUCCUGUGGAUAUACCUAGCAUUGAAGCUUGUUAUAGCCAUAUGAAAACUCUUGUUCUUUUCAAAACAUGGUCAGGAACCACUUUCUUGGCUCGUGGGUUCAGAUGUCGUAGUGGUUGAUCCUCCCCGGAAGGGGCUGGAUCUGUCUCUGCUGGAUACACUACGGUCUCUGUCAUCUUUGGAGCUCAAAGCCAAUCUUCCUGAAAGGUGUGGAACUUAGAUGGAUUCCUCACUUCUAAUUCUAAAUGUGCAAUCUCUAUUGGGUGGCAGAAACUAAAAAGUGAUAUGUUUGUGUGCUUACCCUUCAUUGGUUAUUCCAGUACCGGUGGGAAGGUAAAAAAUGAAAAAAGACCAUGGAUUCUGAGAGAGAGAGAAACUUCAGUGCAGGUUAAGAGCAGCACAGUACAAGAAGAAAGUCGGUCCUUGCCUGAAACUCUAAUUUAUAUAAGUUGUGGAUGGGAUAGUUUUAAAGAGGUGUGUUUACCCUUACUUCUCAUAGUUUAAAGAGCUGCUAAAUAAUAAAGAAAAAGUUUAAUCUUUAUUCAGUUGUUUGAUUUUUAGCUAGGCAAAAGUGUCACUGUCUGCUUGAGCUUCUAUUGCUGCCAUUUAACUUACAGGAUUGCAUGUCACUGCUCUCUUGUAAGGCCUGGUAUUUGGACAAAGCACAUGGCUUCAAUUUUUUCCCUGGAACACAAAGGUAUUCAUACCUCUCUCUCUCUCUCUCUCUCUCUCUCUCUCUCUCUCUCUCUCUCUCUAGCAUGUUAGAUAAGGAGGAUCGUAUAGAUUUGGACAAUACUAAAUAGGAAAAAGAAGCUAAAAAUCUUGUUCAUUAUAGUGUCCAAGCAUGUCCUGUACCAAAAAUGCACUUCAUGUGACCAAUGAAGCCAAGGCCUAGUUCAAGUAGCAAGACUGGAGCCUUCCCAGGUCAAUGGACUAGAUUCUAGCCUCCUUUUGUGGGGUGAAAUCCUUUAUCCCCCUUCUAAACCGGGGAGCCAAUAGAAGGUUUGAAUCGUCCCAUCUCCCAUGCCUUCUAGAAUUUGUGGGGUGCAAUCCUUUAUCCCCCUUCUUAAAAAAAAAAAAAAUGAGGAACUAAUAGAAGGUUUGAAUUGUCCCAUCUCCCAUGCCUCCUGAAACUUAUCCCUUAAUUUUAGUAGUUUGCCUUGUUUGUUGUACUUUUGAGUCAACCCUACCCAGUUGAGAAGAAGAGGGUCAGCCAAACUGCAAUCCACUUUGUACAUAUGCUGAGACCAAUCAAUCAUUUUAAAAUAGGAAAAGGAGCGGUGACCACUGAGGAUGGUCUAAUUAUUCAGUUUAUUGUGGGAUUGGGGUGCCUUGCGGGGUUUGCCACGAAGAGAAAGAUCCAUUCUCUGGGUUAUCUUACCAUGAGGAUUUUCUUUUCUGGAAAUAUGCUAUAUUCACAUGUUUGUGUUGCAUCAGCUAAUGACUCUGUUCUUUUAUUCAUUGGACUAAUUGUUUGGUUCCUAAUUUACCAAUCAAAUGCACUAUUAUUAAUGUAGCAUUGAGGUCCUGGCCGUGUUUAAAAGAGGCACUAAACCAAACAUCAAGAGAAGAAAAUCUGGAAAAAAGAAAAGGCCCUCUUGAGGUGCACUAUUUCAUCCUGUCGAGUAUUACGAGGGAUAAAAUGCUUCUCAUGAAAAGCCUAAAGAGAUGGUAUGGAGUAAAUGCACAACGAAAAGGAAGAAUAUCUAUUCAGUCACAUUUGAAUAGAAAGAAGUUCCAGACUGCAGUCUACACUGCCCUUAUGGAAAAAUAUUUUUUAUUUAGGCUGCUGGAUCUAACGAAAUAUAUAUACGAUAAACUGCACAUGUUUCAGAUAUUAUUUUGUAAUGAUGAACAUUUUAUGCACCCAUGGUUCCUUUUAUCCUUGUGAAAUUGGGACUAAGAGUAACAUUUUGUUAAAUUUAUUAAAAGCUUUUGCCAGAAGAAAAUGAACUUAUAGCACCUUAGCAAUUGAAUAG